GCUGGGGCUUCAGCACACACACUUGGGGCGGGGGACACGAGCCGGCUCAUAACUGUCGAGGCUUCACAGUUUUGGAAUUGAAGAUGCCGUCCUCAUCUCCAUGUCAGAGACCGACAGGUUCCCAGAAGCCGCGUCGUUUGCUGAUGACCUUCACGCAGCGAGCCUCGCACACCCUUCACAUGCUCUGUGUCUCCUGCCCGGCUGUGCGUGUCACAGAGCAAAAUAAGAGGAUUAUUUAUACCAGAAGCUCAAAAGAUCUGUUCAGAGAUUUCAGGAGUUGAGGCCAUUUGGGUCCAUAAAGAAUCUCGACCCAGCGGGGAAACCUGUGACAGAGGAAGCGAAGUUGGUCACACGGAUGCACCAAGUCCCUCAUGAUGUCAGUGAGGCCGCAUCCACGCUCUGGGUGGAAAGAUGCUGAGUCUUCCAGACGCUGGUUGUCCAGAGGAGGCCGGGGUUCUCCUGGGGAAGCUCGAGGUCGUGCUGUUUCAACCAGCCCCUCCACGAGGGUCCAACGGGGCUCAGCAGGAGGAAUGGGGGCCCACAGCGGUGGGACUGGAAGGGCGGCCUCGCCAGGAGGAUCUAAUUUUAGCCGCAUGAUGAAUGGCCCAGGGAUGUGUUCUGCUGCCCUCCAAGGAGAGGAAUAUACAUCAGACCUGCUCAGAUGUGAAAAUGGAGGCUCAGAGAGAUGAAACCACCUGCUCAAGUUCUGGGACAUGGCCCGAACGGUAGAAGCAAAAUACUUGAAGAGAUGCCGGCGGAGGUAGGCACUGCUCCCAGCGAGAAGGAAAAGGUGGGCUCUGACCCCAGCGGACUGACUGUAGAAAGAAAAGUUGGGAAAACCAUGAAAAAGCAGACAAGGAACUAAAAAGGCGUGAUGAUCGCCGGCCGGCCGUCUAUGGCAGAAAUAUUUGCUGGCCAUCCCCGAGUCCCUUCCUGGGUUCUUUACAAGUUGUUUCCUUAUGGGACGGACAGCUGCUGACUCCGGGGUCUUCGCCGGGAAUGGAAGAGCGGGGACCAGGAAGGUGGGAGCUCAGAGGCGGUGGCGGAGGCCUUUGACGGCAUCACGCUCCUCUCGGGGGCUCCGCCCGCCCGCCCUGGACACCCACGGUCCCCCGCACCCCCCACGCAAGGUUUCCCUGGAAACGUGAUGUUUGCUUUACUUUGGGAUGACCAUCCUGCAGGCAGAUGAACACAUCUGUCCUAGAACUGGAGCCCUGAGACUGCAAAGUGGCGCUGGCCAUCGCACUUCCCAGGAGGGGCCCCGAGGACACAGGCUCCCUGUCCCCGGGCUGGGCUCUCAGCCCCCACCAGGGUGGGUUCAGAUGUGCCAGGAGGGGGCGGGGCGGGGGGCAACGCUUACUAUCAGGCUGCUUCUGACAAUGCCUAAUGUAAUCCAUACACUACACAUACAUUCUAGUUACACAAUUUAUGAGGUAUAACAAGGGGAGAGAAGUGAAGCGGGCUUAUAAUUGUGACUGAUGUGAAACAGACAUGUAGAAUGAAUGGCCUUACAACAUUUUCUUUGAAGUUGGUUAAAAGCAGUAAAGUGAUAUUCGCCGUAAGUGAAACCUGCUGUGGCAGAUCCCCACUGGCGUGGGGGACGUUUUUCCUGUGGACUCUAUUUCUUGAAUUUUAAUCCGCCACUCGGAGGUUUUGAAAACGUUUCUUUCGCUGCGCGGUGGGAGAGAGAGAGAGAGAGAGAGAGAGAGAGAGAGAGAGAGAGAGAGAGAGAGAGACUGCACACCGUGGAACACCUACUGCGUGCCCAUCCCGUGUCAAGCGCGUGGCCCCAGGGAGCCCCAGUGGGUGCCGCGCCUAGCGCCCACGGGAAUGUUAUCAUUUGAAUGUCUUGGAAAGCCAGAAGAAAACAAUGAAUAUACUGAUACGAUACCAUAUUAAUGAAUUUCCAUGAUAAAAUUAAAAUAAUGAUAAUGAACAUAACAAGGAAUCCGAUCUGGACUGUGUUUGCCCUCUGCUAUUUUUUUUAUGGGAGAAGGGCCCACAAGGCAGAGGACUGAGGGCCCCCAGACCUCACAGUGUGGUCCUGGCUGAUAGACACCACCUCACUGGUUUUCCCGAGCGACUGUGAAAGGCAGGAAGGCACGGGGAGGGUGACGCUCCAGAGACUUGAGGAAUUUCCGAAGGUCCUACAACUAGGACGAGGGGGAGCCAGGUCUGAAGGCGAUUGUCUGGCUCCUCCCACGGGAGAAGAGCUUCAUGUUCGGGCAGUUCUAUGUGGGAUCACCUGCCUGAGGCCUGCAGAACGCCAUCUGUGCAUUCGUUACCAAAGAAAUGAAUGGAAAGUCCAUUCUGAGGUGGCCAUGUGUUUAUCCCAAGAAUAUAGGAAGAUGCCUAGAAAUGUACGCCACUCAGAUGUCCCCAGGUCUGCCUGCUUCAAGGUCAGGAUUGUCUUUAACAUUCACGGAACCCAGGUCUGGUCCUUGGAGCCAUCGUCUUCCCCUUCUUCCUCCUGGGGUCUCUGUGUUCCCCUAACCAGCCCUGGUUCACACUGACAGUCUCCACUAAUAACCUCUCACCCGGUUAUGAAAGUCACUUUUUGGGCAGGUUGUCACAGCUUUCUCCUCCUGGGGAUGCAGCCCCCCCCCCUUCCCCAAAGCACAGCUAAGACUCAGCUGGGACUCCCACCAGAUUUUCCUGAAGUCUUGGGGGGUAUCAGUAGCAUAACACAAAGGGCAACCUAUGGCUGAUACCUGGGCUGACCAAGUGUCUCAGUCAGCCAAGACUAAGGGGCCCCGGCUGGGAAUUGAGCUUUUUUUCUCAUCAACAGUGUUACUUGAGGACCUGCUGUAUAAUAAAUACCAUUGAACUGUAUCCUUAAAAAGCACAAAUUUUCUCAUGUGAAUUAUAUCUCAAU